rnacentral:ncRNA from 8 species
UGUAACAGCAACUCCAUGUGG